AACAAUCAGGCAAUUUUCAUGAUUGGGCAUGGGACACAAGCUCAGGCUUGAUCACCCUGUAGCUGGCCACCUUUGAUGAGGGCGUGUAGUGUUGAAAGGCCAAAACACCCUGUGCUUCAAAGGUACACUACUGAUGAUGUGUCCCGAAAUUCACAU